rnacentral:piRNA from 1 species
UGGNGUAUGCUCAGUAACUAGAUGGACCCU